CCUACGGGAGGCUGCAGUGGGGAAUAUUGGGCAAUGGGCGCAAGCCUGACCCAGCAACGCCGCGUGAAGGAAGAAGGCUUUCGGGUUGUAAACUUCUUUUAAGAGGGAAGAGCAGGAGACUUUACCUCUUGAAUAAGCCACGGCUAACUACGUGCCAGCCGCCGCGGUAAGACGUAGGUGGCAAGCGUUGUCCGGAUUUACUGGGUGUAAUGGGCGUGCAGCCGGGAAGACAAGUCAGAUGUGAAAGCCCGCGGCUCAACCGCGGAACUGCAUUUGAAACGGUUUUUCUUGAGUACCGGAGAGGUCAUCGGAAUUCCUGGUGUAGCGGUGAAAUGCGUAGAUAUAAGGAAGAACACCAGUGGCGAAGGCGGAUGACUGGACGGCAACUGACGGUGAGGCGCGAAAGCGUGGGGAGCAAACAGGAUUAGAUACCCGUGUAGUC
rnacentral:rRNA from 1 species